CUAGAGAAUUAACCUGUGGAUAUGAAGAAAAUUGAAGAUUAAAUGUAUUUACAUCUUGUAACUGAUCCCCAGCUGCCUCCUGGGGCAUGUGGUGCUGUAAGUCUCCUGCAGGGAUUCUCGCUAUGAAAAGUGGCUUUUAUAAUCCCAAAUUGAACAAAGCACUCAAACCAAGGUAGAGUCCAUAAAGAAGAAGCAAGUCCAAUCACAAAUCUUUUGUUCAGAAAUCUGAAUUCAGCUCGCUACUGCAUGCAACACUCCAUUUCUAGGCAUAAGACACCAGAUACGGUUUUUGUUUUCCUUAAGAAAGCAUACAAAAGAUUGGAAGCAAAAGUGUCAUCAUGGAAGUCUGGGAAAAAAAAAAAGAAACAAGAUUAAUCUCAGCAUGCUUAACUGAAAUGUUACCUGUGAGCUAAGGUCUAGAGGCACAAUACUGAGGAUAUUACAAAUCUUUUGCUUUCAAAAGUAUGAGAAAAUGAAGAAACUGAAGGACAUCCCGAAGCACAGAACAUCUAAGGAAAUAUAUGAUGCAAUGAAAAGAAGUCAGAAAAGAUGUGAGGAUACCACUCAUAGAUAUGAGUUUAGCUACUAAGGAAUGGAAGGAACUUUCAAAUAAUGUGAAUUAAGAAGAGAAGACAAGGAG